UACGAAGGGGGCUAGCGUUGUUCGGAAUUACUGGGCGUAAAGGGCGCGUAGGCGGUGUGUCAAGUCAGGCGUGAAAGCCCCGGGCUCAACCUGGGAACCGCGCUUGAGACUGGCACGCUAGAGUUCGGGAGAGGAUGGUGGAAUUCCCAGUGUAGAGGUGAAAUUCGUAGAUAUUGGGGAAGAACACCGAUGGCGAAGGGCAGCCAUCUGGACCGACACUGACGCUGAGGCGCGGAAAGCGUGGGGAGCAAACAGG
rnacentral:rRNA from 1 species